rnacentral:lncRNA from 12 species
AGUUCUUGCACUAAAGUUGAGUAUUAGAUAAAAUCUUCAGGGGACCUACAAUAUUUUUAGGAUAAAGACUGUAUCUCGAAAUUUCACUCUGCAAUUCCUUUGUAAGGGAUUAGAAUGAAUGCUCGUGAAGAUAAAUUCUAAGUUCUAGAGUUCUAUAUCCUCCAAGAAAAGAACAGUGCAUAAUUCUAAUUAGGGGCAAAUGAAUAUGGGACAAAUACUCUUCUGUAUAAUAUAACCAAUAGGUGUUAUAGUCUUAAUCCUGACAUGUAUGAACACUUUGAACGCAGAGUUAAUCUGCAAGAAAUAUUAGUGGCAUUAACCAUUUCCCCAAAUGAUCCUUUCAAAGAAGAAAUCAAGCAAAAAAUUACUUAUGGCUGAAAUCUAUGAUUUGAUUCUAACCCUGUAAAGAGCAGGAUUGUAGCAGUAUUUUCCUAUCAAGCAGCUCGUUCAUUUAGGUGUUCUCAUUAUCUCAAUAUCUGUGACUCAUGUCUGCUCAUCAGUGACUAUUGGAGGCCUUGUCCACUCCAUAGAGGCCUUGGUCACCAGCUUAACCAUAUAUUAGGGCACACCCAGAGAUGCUUUUGAGGCAGAUCUUAGCCUUGCCUUUAUUUUUUUUUUUAAUUUUAUUUAUUUAUUUAUUUAUUUAUUUAUUUAUUUAUUUAUUUAUGAUAGCUACACAGAGAGAGGGAGAGAGAAAGAGACAGAGAGAGAGAGGAAGAGACACAGGCAGAGGGAAGGAAAACUUUGGGUGGGUGAAUGUAUAGCAAGGUGCCUCCAUCCAUGUUGCUGUGAGCUCCAGAAGCACGGUGGACUUUGGAGAAGCACUUUACUCCUCUCCUCUGGAAAGCCAGUUUUUGGGUAGCAUCCAGAUGCCUCUGAGUCUGUCUUCUUUGGUGAAAAAUGUAUAUUGUUAAUAACAGGUCAUCUCACGAGAAAUCACAAGUUGGAGUCAUGGUACUGUUAUUUUCAACUACUUCCUCACUUGCUGAAACACAUGCAGGAACUUCACAAAUAGAAUUUCCUGAGGCUAAGCUGACAGGUUCACUGAAGGCAGCUGAUGAGGUAAGAAAGACUGUGGGAUCUGAAUGACCCAGGUUUAAACUCAGUUACUGUCAUUUCCUCGUCCACGUAGCAAAAGGCACCUAAUUGCCCUGUGUCUCAAUGCCUCACCUGGGGAAAUAGGGUGUUUCUCACAAGACUGAAGAUUAAAUGUUAUAAUAUAGAAAAAUACCUAGUUGCAUACCUACCUGGUAUGCAAUAAACACUGUUACACUAUUUCCA